rnacentral:rRNA from 1 species
UACAGAGGGGGCCAGCGUUAUCCGGAUUCAUUGGGUUUAAAGGGUGCGUAGGCGGAAUGAUAAGUCAGUGGUGAAAGCCUGCAGCUUAACUGCAGAACUGCCAUUGAUACUGUCAAUCUUGAGUAUAUUUGAUGUGGGCGGAAUGUGUCAUGUAGCGGUGAAAUGCUUAGAUAUGACACAGAACACCGAUUGCGAAGGCAGCUCACAAAACUAUAACUGACGCUGAGGCACGAAAGCGUGGGGAUCAAACAGG